UUCUGAGUUGUGCUUCUAAUGAAACUGCUUAUGAGAAAAAGUACUUCUUGUACAGGCAGUCCCAUACAAGCCCGGGUUUUUUAGUUAAAGAUUUAAGCUUUUUGGCAAUUGAGAAUUGGGAUCUUUCAUAUUUUGGGUCUGCCCAAUUGGGCUUGAUUUUUCAUGGAUUGUUGUUUUAAGGGAGUAUCAGACUGGAGACAACAUAAAGCCAUUGGAUUGGACCCCAAACCAAAAGUGUGCAAAGCGUUGUUCAUAUCCACCAAGAUAUGAAUGUUUUACAGUCAGCCCUACCCUUUUGAAGGCCUCCAAAAUUACACCGUGUUCGUCUCACAGGGUUGAGCCGACCACAUUUUAUUUCUAUACCUGCAACGAGUGAAAUCCACCAUUUUCAGGACGGACCAUGCCAGUUUCUGGUCCUCGGAGCUACCAGGAGAGAAUAGCCCAACUACCACAAUAAAUCACUUGAUAAGUAACAAUCCUGAUCGCGUUCUAUCGAUUGGUGAUGUUACUUAUGCAAACCUCUACCUCACAAAUGGAGCUGGCUCCGACUGCUAUUCUCGCUCAUCUCCAAACUCUCCAAUACACGAGACCUAUCAGCCUAGAUGGGAUUUCAAGUUUGUGUAGGUAUAUGCAGAGUUUAGCUUCCAAAGUUCCAAUAAUUUCGGUCCAAGUGAACCAUGAAAUAGAACAACAGGCUGAAAAUAAGACAUCUGAAGAAAGCAGAUCCUUGUCCACGUUCUACUACUCAUUUAAAAUGCUUGGAGCUUACAUUGUACCUAUGGCGUUGAUACAGUUUUCAGUUGCAACAUCACGAUCAAAUCACUCAGCGCAAUAUUUGUUCAUAUGGGGACCCGAGUUCAUGAAGAUCCUGUGACUGACUAGAAUAUCGUCGUUGUGUUUUGUGUAGCAGACAUACAGGUCUAGGCUGCGGUCUGCAGAGAAUGUAUGUACUAGAAUUAUACUAGUUUAACCACCUGGAUUAUAUUCUAACCGUGGGAUUCAAUGUGCAUAACUUGCAGGUGAAGAAUGA